rnacentral:tRNA from 1 species
UAAUCUUAUAUUAAUAUAUUGCCAUAACAGCAUCCCAUAUUAAAAUAUACACUAUAUAA